rnacentral:rRNA from 1 species
ACUCAAAUGAAUUGACGGGGGCUCACACAAGCGGUGGAGGAUGUGGUUUAAUUCGAAGCAACGCGCAGAACCUUACCAGGUCUUGACAUACCGGGAUUAGUUCAGUGAAAGCUGGAUGAUUGCCGUCAAAAGUGUAACCGGAACAGGUGCUGCAUGGCUGUCGUCAGCUCGUGCCGUGAGGUGUUAGGUUAAGUCCUUUAACGAGCGAAACCCCUACAACUAGUUACCAGCGCGUCAUGGCGGGGACUCUAGUUGGACUGCCGCGCAAGUAGGAGGAAGGUGGGGACGACGUCAAGUCAUCAUGGCCUUUAUGACCUGGGCCACACACGUCCUACAAUGGGUGUGACAGAGGGUAGCAGAACCGCAAGGCGAAGCCAAUCCCACAAACACACCCUCAGUUCAGAUUGUGGGCUGCAAUUCGCCCACAUGAAGCUGGAAUCGCUAGUAAUCGCGGAUCAGCCACGCCGCGGUGAAUAUGUUCCUGAGCCUUGUACACACCGCCCGU